GAUGAACGCUGGCGGCGUGCCUAAUACAUGCAAGUCGAGCGAACAGAUGAGGAGCUUGCUCCUCUGACGUUAGCGGCGGACGGGUGAGUAACACGUGGAUAACCUACCUAUAAGACUGGGAUAACUUCGGGAAACCGGAGCUAAUACCGGAUAAUAUAUUGAACCGCAUGGUUCACUAGUGAAAGACGGUUUUGCUGUCACUUAUAGAUGGAUCCGCGCCGCAUUAGCUAGUUGGUAAGGUAACGGCUUACCAAGGCAACGAUGCGUAGCCGACCUGAGAGGGUGAUCGGCCACACUGGAACUGAGACACGGUCCAGACUCCUACGGGAGGCAGCAGUAGGGAAUCUUCCGCAAUGGGCGAAAGCCUGACGGAGCAACGCCGCGUGAGUGAUGAAGGUCUUCGGAUCGUAAAACUCUGUUAUUAGGGAAGAACAAAUGUGUAAGUAACUAUGCACGUCUUGACGGUACCUAAUCAGAAAGCCACGGCUAACUACGUG
rnacentral:rRNA from 1 species